UGCAUACACAAAGAGGAGUGAUAGAGAGAGGUGAAAAGAAACGUUGCAUAAAAAAUCAAAUAAUGCGUGUGGCUCUCACUCAACCCACCUGGGACCUGGCUCGGAAGUGCUAAGAAAGUUACAAAGCUCUUUUCUCCUUUCUUCUCUGUGGUGUGUGUGGUGAUGGUGGUUGUGGUGGUGGAGGGGAAUCCCAUUUGCUGCUCCAACCGCAAAGUGCAGAUAUUUAUUUGUAUUGUACCCUCUUUUGUAUUUAUUGGUUUCUGUUUUUGUGCUAAUAAUGGGAGAGGAAGCACAGGUAAGGCACUUCAGAUCAUAGGUACUUUUUUUUUUUUUUAACUUUAACACAACUUUGUGAUUAUUUCCAGAGGGGAAGGGGCAUGUACAUAUGGUUCAUUUUGGAUUUUAAACAGUGACCUAGAAUCAGUUGAAUAAAAUUUAGUUCCAACUGCACCAGAGUUUUGGUACAGUUUCAAAAAACCACUGUCAUGGGUUGAAUUUUGAAGUUUUCAACUUUGCAUCUAACUUUAGAUAUCCUCUGGAGACUGGAGUGAUUCUUCCUCUCUGCCACUGACGGUUUGAAGACAAACAUGGAAAAAAUUAGGAGUUGGAAAAUUGCAAUUUUGCUUUUUCGGGGGUUCAUACUUCAGCUCAAUAUCAGUUGACCAAUCGAUGUACCAGAUUCAUUCACUCAUUUUCUUUCAACAGUGGAAGCCAAUUAUAUAUAUUUUUUAUAACAAGUUUAGGUGAAUUAGGCCCGCGAUUAAGGUGGGAAUAUGUUUCAAGGUUCAAAUUUCCUGACAAGACUCUUAUGUCGAUUUAAUCGUAUGAUAUAAGUCUGGUUCUUAGCAUGGAGAUCAACCUUCCUUUAGAUAAGGGAAGGGUCCCUCUAAGAUUAGUAUUCUGUGUUGACCUUUAUUUCUGGGGGCAAGUUGGGUGUGGAUAGAGAGAGAUGGAAAGGGACUGAAUUGGAAAAAGAAAAAUAAUUUGGUUGAAUUCAAGAUGAUCUGUUUGGGUAUCUGCCCUCCAUUUGUGGGUCAACUACAAUUUAGAUACCAUUGAAUUGAAGACACUUACCAACACAAUUUAUGCCACACUAUGAAAUCUUGUCAAGAAUCUGUUCUCAGUUACAAUUAUUAUUAUUUAUUAAAAGCCAAUAUGGACCCAACUAUUAAUUAAUUGAAAGGAGGAUCCCACCAACAUUUUCUACCCAUUCCCCCUCCCGGUGGUUAUUAAUUCUUUUACUUUUUUUUUUCUCUUUCUCAAUUUGCUAUUCAAUGAUUAGUUAUUGCGACACUUUGUCAAGUACUCUCAUAUGAGUGAGAUUUUCAGUGUCACUCACACACAGUAACUGUAGAGCCUGCUUGUUCCACUUUCUCAAGUAAUCAAAGGACAAGUAUUUAUCUAAAACACAUGUGAAUUGCCCUCCCUUGUAUAUAUAUGUCCUUCUUUCCUUUUCAGACAUUGUUGGCAAAGCUUUACCCCAUUACUUUGUCCGCUUAUACUAUUAAAUAACUUUUGAAGUUGCACCAGUGCCCUAAAUGCCAUGGACCUUCCAAUUAGAUCUCGCAUCUUUAUUAUUUAUGCUGUGGGUAGCCCACAUCUUAGCCUGAUCUUUCUUCUUCCAUUUAAUAUCUGCAAUCUUGUUGCUUUGAUACACACUAUACAUUUGUUUUUUCU